rnacentral:rRNA from 1 species
UACGAAGGGGGCUAGCGUUGUUCGGAAUUACUGGGCGUAAAGCGCACGUAGGCGGCUUCUUAAGUCGGUGGUGAAAGCCCGGGGCUCAACCCCGGAACUGCCUUUGAAACUAGGUAGCUAGAAUCUUGGAGAGGUCAGUGGAAUUCCGAGUGUAGAGGUGAAAUUCGUAGAUAUUCGGAAGAACACCAGUGGCGAAGGCGACUUACUGGACACAUAUUGACGCUGAGGUGCGAAAGCGUGGGGAGCAAACAGG